GUGAGUGUAGCCAAGUGGUAAGGCAGCGGUUUUCGAUGUCGCUGUGUCAAAGUUCGAAUCCUUCUAUCCAGG
rnacentral:tRNA from 1 species